UGGGAAUCUGCCCUUCGGUUCGGAAUAACAGUUAGAAAUGACUGCUAAUACCGGAUGAUGUCUUCGGACCAAAGAUUUAUCGCCGAGGGAUGAGCCCGCGUAGGAUUAGCUUGUUGGUGAGGUAAAAGCUCACCAAGGCGGCGAUCCUUAGCUGGUCUGAGAGGAUGAUCAGCCACACUGGGACUGAGACACGGCCCAGACUCCUACGGGAGGCAG
rnacentral:rRNA from 1 species